GCUUCUCAUUGCAACAUUACCUGACGCGGGAGUUAUUACCUCAGGAUUCAUGAACGGUUUUUCAUCGACUUAUCUUUGAUUUAUUUGAAGGAAAAGACCCUGAUGGAUAAAAGAUGGAUAUUUUUUCCUGGAGAAGCUAAAACAAUGUCACUUUGAGGUUCUGAUACCAGCUUUUACAAUGUUAUUUACAGAGUUCACAAGACUUCUCUGUGUUAUUCCUUGACCAUGCCGAAAAGCUAUUUGAAACUUGGGCAUUGCAUUUUACAGACAGAAUCCUGCAACUUCCCAGCCAAGAACCAGGAGCAUCAACAAAUCACCUCCAGAACCCCAUGAUGAUAUUCCAACUCCUGUCUACAAAAGUGGGAAGAAAAUCUUAAGUCUAUGUUGGGACCAACAUGGUUGCAUUCUUCUGAGAGGCUGAGGUGACAAAACCAUUCCCAUUUGUCCCUGGAUUGGAAGAUGGCGAUCUCUGCAAUCAAGCCUUCGUUGUUUUUGACAGACAGUCACUCCAGCAAUACACCCUCCUUGGUGAUGUUGACAUGUUUUAAACUUUUUUUAUGUUUUGGACAUUAAUUUUACUAAGCAGUGCACAUCAGUGUGGGUGUUUUUGAAGACUGUUGUUUACAAACUCCCAAGAACGGAAUCCCUUUCUAUAAGAAGUCUGUGUAGUUAUUUGUCAUGCUAAGGUGAUAACUCAUGUUGAUCAUAUAUUGACUGUUUGUGCAACUUUGUGUUGAUCUUAUGUGUUACAUUAACCAUUUCUUAUUACACGGUUCUCUAAAAUGCUAGAUUCUGAUUGGCCAGUCGUGACAUUCUACUACUGCUCAAAACUAAAAACUCCAAUGCUGCAAAUCAUUUUGACAGGUACAGUUUUAUAUUACACAAAAAUUAAAUAUCAAUGUCUAUUAAUUACAUAUCCGACAUUAAAUUUACAAAUGAUUAAAUCAAUGUGUUUGUGACAUUUGUCCUGAUGAAACUGUUGGGGCUUUUUUCUGUGAUGACAUGCUGCCAAUACAUUAUCCCUUACUUGUACAACUU